UAAAAAACUACGAAGAGAAGAGUAGGUUAGUUUUUAUUUCAGAGAGGGAUUGUUGUGGCUGAAAGCAAUCCUAAUUAAGAAUUAGCCGAAUACCAGCUUGGAGUUGUAUCUUAACCUUUAGGUGAAAGAUGUCCGCUGAUUACAGCGUUAUGAAAAAAUGAGAAUUAAUUAGGGUGGAACCACGUGAGUAGCCUCUCGUCCCUUAA
rnacentral:ncRNA from 1 species